UCCGAGUUGACCCCGGCAGUAUCCCAUGAGUUCCCACCAUGACGUGCUGGCAACAUAGGACGAGGGUUGCGCUCGUUGCGGGACUUAACCCAACAUCUCACGACACGAGCUGACGACAACCAUGCACCACCUGUAUACGAGUGUCCAAAGAGUUCGCUGUCUCCAGCGCGUUCUCGCAUAUGUCAAGCCUUGGUAAGGUUCUUCGCGUUGCAUCGAAUUAAUCCGCAUGCUCCGCCGCUUGUGCGGGCCCCCGUCAAUUCCUUUGAGUUUUAGCCUUGCGGCCGUACUCCCCAGGCGGGGAACUUAAUGCGUUAGCUACGACACGGAGACCGUGGAAUGGUCCCCACAUCUAGUUCCCAACGUUUACGGCAUGGACUAC
rnacentral:misc_RNA from 1 species